rnacentral:rRNA from 1 species
UACGAAGGGUGCUAGCGUUGUUCGGAAUUACUGGGCGUAAAGCGCGCGUAGGCGGCUUAACAAGUCAGGGGUGAAAUCCUGGGGCUUAACCCCAGAAUUGCCUUUGAAACUGUUAAGCUUGAGUGUCGGAGGGGAUAGCGGAAUUCCUAAUGUAGAGGUGAAAUUCGUAGAUAUUAGGAGGAACACCGGUGGCGAAGGCGGCUAUCUGGACGACAACUGACGCUGAGGCGCGAAAGCGUGGGGAUCAAACAGG